rnacentral:miRNA from 1 species
UAUAUGUAUGUGUGCAUGUGUAUGUAGAUAUAUAUGUAUCUAUACACACAUAUAACAGUUAGAGAUCAUGCAGGCAUCUUUUCUCAAA